rnacentral:rRNA from 1 species
UAGUGGCGGACGGGUGAGUAACGCGUGAGUAACCUGCCUCACAGUGGGGGAUAACAGUUAGAAAUAGCUGCUAAUACCGCAUAAGCGCUCGGUUCCGCAUGGAUCAGUGUUAAAAACUCUGGUGGUGUGAGAUGGACCUGGGUUUGAUUAACCAGUUGGCGGAGUAACGGCCUACCAAAGCGACGAUCAGUAGCCGGCAUGAGAGGGUGAACGGCCACAUUGGGACUGAGACCCGGCCCAAACUCCUUCGGGAGGCAGCAGUGGGGAAUAUUGCACAAUGGGGGAAACCCUGAUGCAGGGACGCCGCGUGAGUGAAGAAGUAUUUUGGUAUGUAAAGCUUUAUCAGCAGGGAAGAAAGAUGGCGGUACCUGAAUAAGAAGCCCCCGGCCUAAUUAACGUUCCGCAAGCCCCGGUAAAACGUGGGGGGCAAGUGUUUUCCGGGAUUUCUUGGGUUGAAAGGGGAGCGUAGACCGCCAAGGCCAAUUUGAAAGUUAAAACCCCGGGGCUUAAAGCCAGGGAUUGUUAUGGAAGAUGUUAAGCUGGAGUGCCGGCGAGGUAAGUCGGGAAUUUCUUAGUGCAGCGGUGAAAUGCGUAGAUAUUAGAAGAACACCAGUGGCGAAUGCGGCUUACUGGAGGGAAUCUGACGUUGAGGCUCGUAAGCGUGGGGAGCAAACAUGAUUAGAUACCUUGGUAGUGCCCGCAGUGAUAUGAUGUUUGCUAGGUGUAGGUGGGUAUGGACCCAUCGGUGCCGCAGCUUACGCAAUAAGCAAUCCACCUGGGGAGUACGUUGGCAAGAAUGAAACUCAAAGGAAUAGACGGGGACCCGCACAAGCGGUGGAGCAUGUGGUUUAAUUAGAAGCAACGAGUAGAACCUCAUUAGGUCUUGACAUCCCGAUGAAAAACCAGUAACGGGGUUCCCUCUUAGGAUCAUCGGAGACAGGUGGUGCAUGGUUUUUGUCAGCUGUUGUAGUGAGAAGGUGGGUUAAGUCCCGCACCGAGCGCAACCCUUAUUCUUUGUAGCCAGCAGGUAAGGUUGGGCACUAUAAGGUGACUGCCGGGGAUCUCCCGGAGGAAGGAUGGGGAUUGACGUCAAAUCAUCAUGCCCUUUAUGAUGUGGGCUACACACGUCCUUCAAUGGAGUAACAAAGGGAAGUGAGCCUGGGAGGGUGAGCAAAUCCCAAAAAUCACGUCCCCGUUCGGACAGUAGUAAGCAACCCGGCUACAAGAAGCUGGAAUCGUUAGUAAUCGCGAAUCAGAAUGUGGCGGUGAACACGUUCCCGGCUCUAGCACUCACCGCCCGUCA